GUGUCAGCAGCCGCGGUAAUACGGGGGGAGCGAGCGUUGUCCGGAAUCACUGGGCGUAAAGGGUGUGUAGGCGUCCCGGUAAGUCUCUGGUGAAAGCCUUCCGCUCAACGGAAGAAUUGCCAGAGAUACUGUCGGGAUUGAGUACGGGAGAGGAGAGUGGAAUUCCCGGUGUAGAGGUGAAAUUCGUAGAUAUCAGGAAGAACGCCAGAGGCGAAGGCGGCUCCCUAGCCCGGUACUGACGCUGAGGCACGAAAGCGUGGGGAGCGAACGGGAUUAGAUACCCCGGUAGUCCACGCCCUAAACGAUGGAUGCUAGGUGUUGGAUCCGAGAGGAUUCAGCGCCGAAGCUAACGCGUUAAGCAUCCCGCCUGGGGACUACGGCCGCAAGGCUGAAACUUAAAGAAUUGACGGGG
rnacentral:rRNA from 1 species